ACUCCUACGGGAGGCAGCAGUGGGGAAUUUUGGACAAUGGGCGAAAGCCUGAUCCAGCAAUGCCGCGUGAGUGAAGAAGGCCUUCGGGUUGUAAAGCUCUUUUGUCAGGGAAGAAACGGUGAGAGCUAAUAUCUUUUGCUAAUGACGGUACCUGAAGAAUAAGCACCGGCUAACUACGUGCCAGCAGCCGCGGUAAUACGUAGGGUGCAAGCGUUAAUCGGAAUUACUGGGCGUAAAGCGUGCGCAGGCGGUUUUGUAAGUCUGAUGUGAAAUCCCCGGGCUCAACCUGGGAAUUGCAUUGGAGACUGCAAGGCUAGAAUCUGGCAGAGGGGGGUAGAAUUCCACGUGUAGCAGUGAAAUGCGUAGAUAUGUGGAGGAACACCGAUGGCGAAGGCAGCCCCCUGGGUCAAGAUUGACGCUCAUGCACGAAAGCGUGGGGAGCAAGCAGGAUUAGAAACCCCGGUAGUCCCAUGAU
rnacentral:rRNA from 1 species